CAGACCAAUAACGUUGACAAAUUAUUCAACAGUUGCUCAACCGUUGAGUGUCGUGAACGCACCCAAUUCUUACAUUUUGAAAAAUCAGCAGCGGAGGGAUAGAUACAGGCCCCUGACACUUGCUAUUAUAUCCUUUGUUACGGUAUGUCUACGUAAUGAAGCCAAGCCGCUACGUAGCGCUAGCAACAGUCACCAUGUGUUUACGUCUGUAAUUUCAAUGACUUGAGGACGAAAAUGUGAGAAAAGCAUGGCAAGCAGCUUUAAGGAGAAAUGAUAUAACUAUCAACUCAAAAUAAGCUGUAUGCCAUCAUCACUUUUUAAAUAGUGAUAUUUUGUGGAAACGUGAAAUUUGUGAUGAGAAGGGAAAUGUUCUUGGUGUGUCUGCGCCAUUUAAAAUUCCAAGGCUACGUAAAGGGGUUGUGCCUUCACAAUUCCCCUGGUUUGAAGAAACCCCAAAUAUAGAAGAUAUUCUAUACAUAUUGAUCAAAAUGUACAUGACCUGCAUAUUGAACAACAUGAAGAAAAUGAACAUGUGAUAGUACCAUCAUUAAAUAAUACAAUAGAGGAUCGUACGACAAUGUUAUUAUUUGAUAGCUUAAUAGAUAGUAUAAACAGAAAACAGUUUAAUAUGCCAAGUCAAUGGAUGCACAUACAAUAUUGCAGUAGUGACACACGAUUAUUGGUAUUUUUUUUAACAACAUGCAACAAAAUAGAAAAUUAUAAUGACAGAUAUUCAUUUAACCCUAUCAAAGAAGUCAUACUCAAAGAAGAUAUGACAUUACAAAUAAAUGUCUUAAAGCAACCCGUUUUAAAUAUUCCAUCACACAUACAGAUUUAUAAUAAUAUAAAUAGAAUAGAACUGCUACAAGAGACAUUAUUUUCUUUUGAUAGCCUUGACAUAUGUUGUGGUACAAAUAAAAGUGAGAUUAAAGAUGUUGAAUAUAAUGAAGCUUUUAAAGAUAUUAAUAGUAUAUGGAGACACAAGAAAUGUUUAUUACUUUCAUCCCAGAAAUGUAAAUUUUGUGCCAUUGCAAACAAAUCUAUAAAUCAAAAAUACCGUCGGAGAAAAAUAAUGAAAUCAAUUAAAAGAAUAAAAAUAGCUGUAUCAAAAACAGAAAAACAAAAGAAAAUUUUAUUAUUACGCAAACGAUAUUAUAAAGCACAAAAAGCAAAAAAUAGAGCUAAAUAUAUAUCAAAUAAAUUGAGAAAAGAACUUGCAGAUAAUAUGAUGAAAGUAAAAGAAAUUUCAAUAGAGAACAUAAAAGACCAACUAAAAGAAACACAAAUUUCUCAACAUCAGUUAACUGCAAUACAAGAAAUAAUAAAAGCUGCGAAACAUACAAAUAUUAAAGGUCACAGAUAUAGUGAAGAUUGGAUACUAUUAUGUAUGUUAUUACAUAUGAAGUCACCUAAAGCUUAUAAUUUUUUAAGAAAAAACAAAAUACUACCCCUUCCAUGUAUUAGAACUAU